rnacentral:rRNA from 1 species
AUUGAACGCUGGCGGCAUGCUUUACACAUGCAAGUCGAACGGCAGCGCGGGCUUCGGCCUGGCGGCGAGUGGCGAACGGGUGAGUAAUACAUCGGAACGUGCCCAGUAGUGGGGGAUAGCUCGGCGAAAGCCGGAUUAAUACCGCAUACGACCUGAGGGUGAAAGCGGGGGAUCUUCGGACCUCGCGCUAUUGGAGCGGCCGAUGGCCGAUUAGCUAGUUGGUGGGGUAAAGGCCUACCAAGGCGACGAUCUGUAGCUGGUCUGAGAGGACGACCAGCCACACUGGGACUGAGACACGGCCCAGACUCCUACGGGAGGCAGCAGUGGGGAAUUGUGGACAAUGGGCGAAAGCCUGAUCCAGCAAUGCCGCGUGUGUGAUGAAGGCCUUCGGGUUGUAAAGCACUUUUGGCGGGAACGAAAAGGACUGUGCCAAUACCACGGUUCGAUGACGGUACCCGCAGAAUAAGCACCGGCUAACUACGUG